AACGAACGCUGGCGGCAGGCUUAACACAUGCAAGUCGAGCGCCCCGCAAGGGGAGCGGCGGACGGGUGAGUAACGCGUGGGAACGUACCUUUUGGUUCGGAACAACUCCGGGAAACUGGAGCUAAUACCGGAUAAGCCCUAACGGGGAAAGAUUUAUCGCCGAAAGAUCGGCCCGCGUCUGAUUAGCUCGUUGGUGAGGUAACGGCCCACCAAGGCGACGAUCAGUAGCUGGUCUGAGAGGAUGAUCAGCCACACUGGGACUGAGACACGGCCCAGACUCCUACGGGAGGCAGCAGUGGGGAAUAUUGGACAAUGGGCGCAAGCCUGAUCCAGCCAUGCCGCGUGAGUGAUGAAGGCCUUAGGGUUGUAAAGCUCUUUUGUCCGGGAAGAUAAUGACUGUACCGGAAGAAUAAGCCCCGGCUAACUUCGUG
rnacentral:rRNA from 1 species